rnacentral:lncRNA from 1 species
CCUCCUUCUUCCCAAAGGCUGCCACCACCUCCUCCUCCUCCCCCUCCUCCACUCCCAGAGAAAAAGCUCAUUACCAGAAACAUUGCAGAAGUCAUCAAACAACAGGAGAGUGCCCAACGGGCAUUACAAAAUGGACAAAAAAAGAAAAAAGGGAAAAAGGUCAAGAAACAGCCAAACAGUAUUCUAAAGGAAAUAAAAAAUUCUCUGAGGUCAGUGCAAGAGAAGAAAAUGGAAGACAGUUCCCGACCUUCUACCCCACAGAGAUCAGCUCAUGAGAAUCUCAUGGAAGCAAUUCGGGGAAGCAGCAUAAAACAGCUAAAGCGGGUGGAAGUUCCAGAAGCCCUGCGAUAAAAACAUGAUCUUUAGAAGAGGAUGCAGAACUGUUCAGUGGUAUUACAUGAAAUGCAUUGUGAGAUGUUUCUAAAAUACCUUCUUCAAUUCAAAAUGAUCCCUGACUUUAAAAAUAAUCUCACCCAUUAAUUCCAAAGAGAAUCUUAAGAAACAAUCAGCAUGUUUCUUCUGUAAAUAUGAAAAUAAAUUUCUUUUUUAUGUCGUGAGAUUUGUAUUGGCAAGAAGCAGUUAAUUUAAAGAUGCUCUUCCUAUCUGUGGAUGUGUUGGUAACUCCGAGUUGUAAUGAGUUCAUGAAAUGUGCUGUUAUUUUUGUAAUCUCAAUAAAUGUGGAUUGAAGUUUUUUCCCUUUUUUUAAAGCCAAACUAAUAUUUUUCUGUGACUUGAUACAUCUGUCAGAUUUUUGUAAUCUCGAUAAAUGUGUAUUGAAGUUUUUUCCCUUUUUUUAAAAAGCCAAACUAAUAUUUUUCUGUGAGUUAAUACAUCUGUCAGGUGUGUAUGUAACAUUACUGGACAUUAAAAAAAAAUAUUACAUUCUCACCC